AACGAACGCUGGCGGCAUGCCUAAUACAUGCAAGUCGAACGAUCACUUCGGUGGUAGUGGCGCACGGGUGCGUAACGCGUGGGAAUCUACCCUUGGGUUCGGAAUAACAGUUAGAAAUGAUUGCUAAUACCGGAUGAUGACGAAAGUCCAAAGAUUUAUCGCCCAAGGAUGAGCCCGCGUAGGAUUAGCUAGUUGGUGAGGUAAAAGCUCACCAAGGCGACGAUCCUUAGCUGGUCUGAGAGGAUGAUCAGCCACACUGGGACUGAGACACGGCCCAGACUCCUACGGGAGGCAGCAGUAGGGAAUAUUGGACAAUGGGGGCAACCCUGAUCCAGCAAUGCCGCGUGAGUGAUGAAGGCCUUAGGGUUGUAAAGCUCUUUUACCCGAGAUGAUAAUGACAGUAUCGGGAGAAUAAGCUCCGGCUAACUCCGUGCCAGCCGCCGCCGUAA
rnacentral:rRNA from 1 species